UGAGUAAGAUCCCUCAGAGACGAUGAGGUGGAUAGGCCCGAGGUGGAAGCGUGGUGACACGUGGAGCUGACGGGUACUAAUCGAUCGAGGACUUACCUUA
rnacentral:rRNA from 1 species